AAAAACUCCGGUGGUAUGAGAUGGGCCCGCGUCUGAUUAGCUAGUUGGCGGGGUAACGGCCCACCAAGGCGACGAUCAGUAGCCGACCUGAGAGGGUGACCGGCCACAUUGAGACUGAGACACGGCCCAAACUCCUACGGGAGGCAGCAGUGGGGAAUAUUGCACAAUGGGGGAAACCCUGAUGCAGCGACGCCGCGUGAGCGAUGAAGUAUUUCGGUAUGUAAAGCUCUAUCAGCAGGGAAGAAGAUGACGGUACCUGACUAAGAAGCCCCGGCUAACUACGUGCCAGCAGCCGCGGUAAUACGUAGGGGGCAAGCGUUAUCCGGAUUUACUGGGUGUAAAGGGAGCGUAGACGGCGGUGCAAGCCAGAUGUGAAAGCCCGGGGCUCAACCCCGGGACUGCAUUUGGAACUGUAUGGCUGGAGUGUCGGAGAGGCAGGCGGAAUUCCUAGUGUAGCGGUGAAAUGCGUAGAUAUUAGGAGGAACACCAGUGGCGAAGGCGGCCUGCUGGACGAUGACUGACGUUGAGGCUCGAAAGCGUGGGGAGCAAACAGGAUUAGAUACCCUGGUAGUCCACGCCGUAAACGAUGACUACUAGGUGUCGGGCAGCAAAGCUGUUCG
rnacentral:rRNA from 1 species